UACCAGUUCCUGGAGAGAUCAAAGAAGGUGAACCAUCUUUCUUCGCUUCACGUUUCAUCAGCGACUGAUAAAACUCAACAAGCUCAGGAGCUCUGUGAACUUUACUCCCGCUUCCCGCUCCUCUUCCAAGUGCUCCAGGAGGAGGCGGUGGCGGCGGAGGUCCACCACCGCCACCACCAGGUGGAGGAGGGGGAGGCGGUGGACCACCACCAGGCAAAGGAGGUCUAGGGGAAGGCACAUUAGUGCUUUUACCACCUCCAGCUGAUCUUGGAGGCGGGCGAGACACUCUAGGAGGUCGUUUCUCAAUAUCCACAAGCUUCAUUUUCGCCACGGCUUGCGCGUUUUCGCUAGCUUUACCAUCGUUGUUGCCGUCACUAGACUGAUCACUUGCGGUAACCGUCCUGGUCAAGGAGGGAACCGAAACUGGCUUCUCCUUGAGCUGA
rnacentral:lncRNA from 1 species